AGUAGUAUGCAACUUUCGAAAUAUUUCAAAAACGCUGGCUCAUAAACAUCAGAUUCAGCAAAUGUAGCACUGGAAAUUGAGCUCACCACUCAAUUUUGCCAUGACUCUGCCAAAUGCUUUCCCAGUUGUGAUUGCAUCUUUGUAUAAAGGUGACAAAUUGCUUGACAGACUUAAGACAGACUCUCAUUUUGAGACUCUUAUACCAGUUCAGUUCAUGUGGCUAAUACUAUCAGUUUUUUGGGGACAACAUACAGGACUGGAUGCGUUCUGACUUUAAAUAGUGCCCGUCCCUCCCUUGUCACUUGUCGCUUGUCGCCUGUCAAUGACGCAUUAUCCCUAGUUUCUUUGCGUUGCACAGUAACCAUGGCAACAGACGCAGACAGCUGUGUAACGUCUAUCGGCACGCUGUUGUUGUUUCGUUCAAACAUUAUGGCAAACUAUGGGACAAAAGGAGAAAUAAAACGAGGAUCAAUAUCGGCGUGGCGUUUCCGACAUUGUGAGAGCUUUGCAACAACUUUGACUUGACAGAGCUCGACGCCGUUGCACGUUAUUAGACAAGUAGAUCUCUGAAGGCAACCUUUGUGGCUGUUCAGAUGAACUACACUCAAAUUGUUUACAAAAGUACAAUUAUUUAUUUUUACAUCAUUCGGAAAGCAAUAUUGCCAGAUGCUAAUGUUGCUACUUCAAGCCAAGAUGGAAGAGGCUAAAGCGGAUGGAUGGAGACGCCACUGGAUUCAGACACACAGAUGAACAGAUGACACUUCUGGAGUGACCGCUCUUACACCUGGAACAAAUAAAACAAAUGAGAAAGAGAUUUUCUGAACCGAUGACACUUCUGGAGUGGCUGUGACCGGACUUACACCUGGAACAAAAAACAGAAAUGGGUUUUAUUGCCUAAAUUCAUUACACUUUGAACAGAUCAGGCCGACACUCAGGCUUCUGCUGCAGAAGAGAGCAGAUCAAAUGGCAGCAACCUGUGCAGAAAGAUGGAGAGACGUCUGAUUAUUACCGUAAACUUUACAUCCACUCUUCUGAAUCCUUAUUCUAAGAUCUUCAGG